rnacentral:rRNA from 1 species
UACGUAGGUGGCGAGCGUUGUCCGGAUUUACUGGGCGUAAAGAGCGCGCAGGCGGCUGGGCAAGUCCGAUGUGAAAGCUUCCGGCUUAACUGGAAAAUUGCAUCCGAAACUGCUCGGCUCGAGUAUGGAAGAGGGUCGCAGAAUUCCCGGUGUAGAGGUGAAAUUCGUAGAUAUCGGGAGGAAUACCAGUGGCGAAGGCGGCGACCUGGGCCAAUACUGACGCUGAGGUGCGAAAGCGUGGGGAGCAAACAGG